GUAAAAACUUAGAUAGGGAUUAGUAGAUUUGUAUUAUAUUUUAAGAGAGUGGUGCAGGGUGUAAAUCCACAUAUAGUAUAUUUUGAACUCGCCCUGGAGUUGUAGGCUGAAUUAUAGUAAGCUGAGCCGGCGAAAGCCGUUAUUAAAUUGAGUAAAAAUUUGGAUGGUACCGCGACAGACUUCUCGCUCCAAGA
rnacentral:ncRNA from 1 species